UAAUACGAAGGGACCUAGCGUAGUUCGGAAUUACUGGGCUUAAAGAGUUCGUAGGUGGUUAAAAUAGUUGGUGGUGAAAUCCCAGAGCUUAACUCUGGAACUGCCAUCAAAACUUUUUAGCUAGAGUAUGAUAGAGGAAAGUAGAAUUUCUAGUGUAGAGGUGAAAUUCGUAGAUAUUAGAAAGAAUACCAAUUGCGAAGGCAGCUUUCUGGGUCAUUACUGACACUGAGGAACGAAAGCAUGGGUAGCGAAGAGGAUUAGAUACCCUCGUAGUCCAUGCCGUAAACGAUGUGUGCUAGACGUUGGAAAUUUUAUUUUCAGUGUCGCAGCGAAAGCGAUAAGCACACCGCCUGGGGAGUACGACCGCAAGGUUA
rnacentral:rRNA from 1 species